ensembl:snoRNA
AUCCUUUUGUACUUCAUAAGCAUGAUGAUUGGGCGUUCACACUGUUGCGUGAGAUGUGCCUCCCUCAAACCUGUUAUGAUGUCAACAUGUGACCCAUUUGAUG